rnacentral:lncRNA from 1 species
GCUGAAACUGAGGCAGAAGUCAAUAGCUGUCCCGUCCCCUUCAGUGGGGCAUGCCCUAGGAUGAGCUGGCCCCAGAGUCUAUGCAGAGUUCCCUUUAUCUCUUGGUUCUUGAGGCUGUAGAUGAUGGGGAUGACCAUGGGAGUAAGUACUGUGUAGAGGACACAGAAGGCUUUUCCGAGCAAGGGCACCAUGUGGUCUGUUGGGGCCACAUAGACCACAAUGAGGGUACCCUAAAACACUGCUACCACACUAAGGUGGGAGGAGCAGGUGGAGAAGGCUUUCUGCCUCCCAUGGCCUGAAGGUAUUUGCAGCACAGCCCUCAGUAUGAAGGCAUAGGAUGUUACAAGCAUCAGGAAGGGGGCUAGUGUGAGGAAUCCAGAGAUACUCACUCCAGCUCCCCACAUGACGCUCGCAUUUCCACAGAACAGCUCUACAACUGGAGUGAAGUCACAGAAGUAGUGGUCAAUCUCCCUGCUGCCAGGACAGAGGGACAAAGGGGCUGCCAGGGGCAGAGUGAAGGCAGAGAAGAAGCCACUGAGCUAAGCACCUGCAGCAGCCAGGCAGCUACAAAACCAGGUGCUCAUGAGGACAGGGUAGUGAAGGGGACGGCAGAUGGCCAAGUAGCGAUCAUAGGACAUGGCAGAGAGCAGGAGGCAUUCAGCUGCAGCUAGUGAGGCAAACAUGUAGAACUGGUCAGUGAGAUGACUUCUCUCCCUUCCAGGAAAGUCUGUAGUAGCCAAGGCAUGAUGUUGGAGGUAUAGCCAAUCUCUAGCAGGGAGAAGUGGCAGAGGAAGAAGUACAUGGGUGUUUAUAGUGUCCGACUGGAGGCCACAGCCAGGAGGAUGAGGGUAUUGCCCCCAACUGUCACCAUAUAGAUGGCCAGAAAGAGGGUGAAGGGGAGAAAGUCCAGGUGUUGCAGCUCCCCGAAGCCCAAGAGGGUCAGCCACAUGGUCUGGUUCUCACUGUCACCACUGGACUGUUUCCUCAUUUAGAUCUGAGCCCAAGGGAAAAGAGAAAAGUUAUAAACAUUAACCAAUAUCCUAUUGUGGCCAUUGGCUUAUUCACUUAGAUGGCACAGCAGGCAUUAGGGACAAGCCUUAUUGUUUCUUGUUUAUAGAAGAGAAACCUCAACCCAAUGAGUUUAAACUAAUUACUCAAGGUCUCUAAGGUGAAGUCAUAAUUUUUUUCCUAGAUUUUGUUAAGAAACCAAUGUAGUUUAUUCACACCCUAUUUAUCUUCUAGGUUAACUAAGUAAUGUGAAAAGGGGAUAAUUUUCUUUGAAACUUAUAAGUACAAUCUGCAUAUACAUGAUUUUGAGAAUAAUUUAAUGUCAAGGUAUCCUAAUACCAUUAUUUUAAAUGUGAAAAAAUAGAUCCUUAGAAGAGUAAAAUAACCCACAGGCCAUGAAGUUGGCUUUUCCUUUUCCUUUUUUCCUGUUUAAAUAAAUGUGCACCACGAUGUUUCAACAAGAUAAAUGCCAUGAAUGUGAAAACCGAAGUUUGUAAUAUGCCUAUCUAGAAUCCAGAGGUUCCAGAUUGUCUUGUCUCUUCGUUGUGUUUGGUGUGAGACCCACCAGAGAAUGGGAACUUCUUGGACCUCCAACUAUGGCAGCAGACAGCUUUAUUUCCCAAAGCCUCCUUGCCAAAAGGGCAUCUUACUGUCUUGGGUUUGUCUUUCUGGAUGUGAAGCCUUACCAUAGCUUUAUUGCCAUGAUCUUUAACAUACAAUCUUUGAUAAGUUGGGUAAACAACUGCAGCUGUCUCGGCAUCGAAG